AUACGUAGGGAGCGAGCGUUGUCCGGAAUUACUGGGCGUAAAGGGUGCGUAGGCGGCAAGGCAAGUCAGGUGUGAAAUCCCCGGGCUUAACUCGGGGGGUGCAUUUGAAACUGCUUUGCUUGAGUACAGGAGAGGAAAGCGGAAUUCCUAGUGUAGCGGUGAAAUGCGUAGAUAUUAGGAGGAACACCAGUGGCGAAGGCGGCUUUCUGGACUGUCACUGACGCUGAGGCACGAAAGCGUGGGGAGC
rnacentral:rRNA from 1 species